rnacentral:rRNA from 1 species
AACGCGAAGAACCUUACCAAAUCUUGACAUCGUACUGACCGGUCUUUAAUCGGGCCUUUCCUUCGGGACAGUACAGACAGGUGGUGCAUGGUUGUCGUCAGCUCGUGUCGUGAGAUGUUGGGUUAAGUCCCGCAACGAGCGCAACCCUUAUCUUUAGUAGCCAGCAAGUUAGGUUGGGCACUCUAGAGAGACUGCCAGGGAUAACCUGGAGGAAGGUGGGGAUGACGUCAAAUCAUCAUGCCCCUUAUGAUUUGGGCUACACACGUGCUACAAUGGCGUAAACAAAGGGAAGCGAUCACGUGAGUGUCAGCAAAUCCCAAAAAUAACGUCUCAGUUCGGAUUGUAGUCUGCAACUCGACUACAUGAAGCUGGAAUCGCUAGUAAUCGCGAAUCAGAAUGUCGCGGUGAAUACGUUCCCGGGUCUUGUACACACCG